rnacentral:rRNA from 1 species
UACGUAGGGUGCAAGCGUUAAUCGGAAUUACUGGGCGUAAAGCGUGCGCAGGCGGUUCGCUAAGACAGAUGUGAAAUCCCCGGGCUUAACCUGGGAAUGGCAUUUGGGACUGCAAGGCUCGAGUGCGGCAGAGGAGACUGGAAUUCCUGGUGUAGCAGUGAAAUGCGUAGAUAUCAGGAGGAACACCGAUGGCGAAGGCAGGUCUCUGGGCUGACACUGACGCUCAUGCACGAAAGCGUGGGGAGCAAACAGG